GACGAACGCUGGCGGCGCGCUUAACACAUGCAAGUCGAGCGAGAACCAGAGCUUCGGUUCUGGGGACAGCGGCGAACGGGUGAGUAACACGUGGGUAAUCUGCCCUCGGCACCGGAAUAGCCCGGGGAAACCCGGAUUAAUGCCGGAUGGCCCACCCGCCUUUCGAGGCGGUUGGAAAAGGUAGCUUCGGCCUCCGGCCGAGGAUGAGCCCGCGGCGGAUUAGCUUGUUGGCGGGGUAACGGCCCACCAAGGCGACGAUCCGUAGCUGGUCUGAGAGGACGAUCAGCCACACUGGGACGAAGACACGGCCCAGACUCCUACGGGAGGCAGCAGUGGGGAAUCUUGCGCAAUGGGCGAAAGCCUGACGCAGCGACGCCGCGUGCGGGAAGAAGGCCUUCGGGUUGUAAACCGCUUUCAGGAGGGACGAAGCCACUCGGGUGAACAGCCCAGAGGGUGACGGUACCUCCAGAAGAAGCCCCGGCUAACUACGUGCCAGCCGCCGCAGUAAUAC
rnacentral:rRNA from 1 species